CCUGCUCCUAGAAGCAUUGCUGGUUUGACUGCUGUAUCACAUGUGUCCGUAGGUAGCAUGGAAAGAUACUAUGUCUAGACUCAGGGUUAUGACCUAUGAACAUCUGGUUAAUAACCUAAUAUU
ensembl:snoRNA Gm25836 predicted gene, 25836